AACGAACGCUGGCGGCAUGCCUAACACAUGCAAGUCGAACGAGACCUUCGGGUCUAGUGGCGCACGGGUGCGUAACGCGUGGGAACCUGCCCUUAGGUUCGGAAUAACUCCCCGAAAGGGGUGCUAAUACCGGAUAAUGUCUUCGGACCAAAGAUUUAUCGCAUUUGGAUGGGCCCGCGUUGGAUUAGCUAGUUGGUAGGGUAAAAGCCUACCAAGGCGACGAUUCAUAGCUGGUCUGAGAGGAUGAUCAGCCACACUGGGACUGAGACACGGCCCAGACUCCUACGGGAGGCAGCAGUGGGGAAUAUUGGACAAUGGGCGAAAGCCUGAUCCAGCAAUGCCGCGUGAGUGAUGAAGGCCUUAGGGUUGUAAAGCUCAUUUACCCGGGAUGAUAAUGACAGUACCGGGAGAAUAAGCUCCGGCUAACUCCGUG
rnacentral:rRNA from 1 species